rnacentral:rRNA from 1 species
GACGAACGCUGGCGGCGUGCUUAACACAUGCAAGUCGAACGGAAAGGCCCUGCUUUUGUUGGUUGCUCGAUUGGCGAACGGGUGAGUAACACGUGAGUAACCUGCCCCUGACUUUGUGAUAACUUCAGGAAACUGGGGCUAAUACAGCAUAUGAUCUCCUGCUCCAUGGUGGGGGUUGGAAAGUUUCGGCUGUUGGGGCUGGUCUCGCGGCUUAUCCGCUUGUUGGUGGGGUAGUGGCUUACCAAGGCUUUGACGGGUAGCCGGCCUGAGAGGGUUAACGGGGACAAGAGGCCUGAGAGACGGAGCAGAAUGGAACGGGAGGCAGCAGGGGGGAAUAUUGCAGAAUGGGCGGAAGUGAGAUGCAGAAAUGCCGCGUGCGGGAUAACGGCCUUCGGGGGGUAAACAGAUGUCGAAUGUGACGAAGCGGGAGUGACGGUAACGGGUAAAGAAGCAACGGCUAACUACGUG